rnacentral:lncRNA from 13 species
AUGUGUGAAAUAUCUACAAUGAAAAACGUCAGUAGAACAUUCCCAAACAGAUACAUUUUAACCUCAGCAACCAUCAGCAACAGGAUAAAAAGUGAUUUAAAAAGAGAAAGGUUUUCGCAAUAUUUAUGCUGCUGUAUCUUCCCCGAAGGAGCUUUUAUUUUACCAUUCAAACGGAAGUUUGUUUUCAAACCAGUCGCUAAAGGAGCAGCGGCAAGAAUCAGCUCUAAGCCAACAGCAAGCGCGCGGGCAAAAGUGGCCGGUUCCCGCAGCCGCCGCGUGGGUCGGCCGCCCGCAGAAGCGCCGUCUUACCUUGAGCGCGCAGGACUGGGAGAGGCUCACGGGCUCCCACGGAGAGGGCCGGGAAGGCUGCGUGCGAUCCGCCGCAGGCGACACGCGCUCGGCUUUUAUGGGCAGGUGGGAGGAGCCGCCCCUCAUGAGCUUGCUCUUUUCCUGGCUACAGAGAACAAGAGGAUUAUCCUGGUCCUGCCCUAAGCUGGCUCAUAUCAUCUUCAUCUUCAGGUUAGAUCUGAUAUCAAGGAGAUGGCCUAUGCAGUUGUUUUGGGUCCACUGCUUGACAGAGGAAGCCUCAUUCUUUGUAUGUAGAUACUUACAGUACUUCUUUUUUUUAAUUGCAUUUUAGGUUAUGGGGUACAUGUGCAGAACAUGCAAGAUGGUUGCAUAGGUACACACAUGGCAGUGUGAUUUGCUGCCUUCCUCCCCUUCACCCACAUCUGGCA